AUUGAACGCUGGCGGCAUGCCUUACACAUGCAAGUCGAACGGUAACAGGUCUUCGGAUGCUGACGAGUGGCGAACGGGUGAGUAAUACAUCGGAACGUGCCUAGUAGUGGGGGAUAACUACUCGAAAGAGUGGCUAAUACCGCAUGAGAGCUACGGAUGAAAGCAGGGGAUCGCAAGACCUUGUGCUACUAGAGCGGCAGAUGGCAGAUUAGGUAGUUGGUGGGAUAAAAGCUUACCAAGCCGACGAUCUGUAGCUGGUCGGAGAGGACGAUCAGCCACACUGGGACUGAGACACGGCCCAGACUCCUACGGGAGGCAGCAGUGGGGAAUUUUGGACAAUGGGCGCAAGCCUGAUCCAGCAAUGCCGCGUGCAGGAUGAAGGCCUUCGGGUUGUAAACUGCUUUUGUACGGAACGAAAAGCCCUGGGUUAAUACCCUGGGGUCAUGACGGUACCGUAAGAAUAAGCACCGGCUAACUACGUGCCAGCAGCCGCCGUAAUAC
rnacentral:rRNA from 1 species